UGUAAAAGUAAGAGAUCAUUGUCAUUUUACGGGAAAAUAUAGGGGAAGUGCACAUAAAUUAUGUAAUUUAAAUUAUAAAGACGAUGCAAUGAUUCCCGUCAUAUUUCACAACCUCUCUGGUUAUGAUAGUCACUUUUUUAUUAGAUCACUAGCUACAGAAAUUUCAGGGAGGAUAAAUCUACUUCCGGUCAACAAAGAAAAAUUCUUUCAGAUUUAUGCCUAGCAGUUUGGAUAAAUUAAGUUCAUAUUUGAGCACUGAGGAGAAAAAUAUUACAAAAAGUUUUUGUACUACUGAUGAACAAUUCAAUUUACUAUCACGAAAAGUGAACUUAAAAAGUGUAGUAUUAACGAAACGGAAUACGAACAUGCUUUACGUGUGUGGAAUACAUUUCAAAUAAAAAAUUUGCGUGAAUAUAUGGAAUUGUAUUUGAGGACUGACGUGUUGUUGUUGGCCGAUGUAUUCGAGAAUUUUCGAGCUGUCUGUUUAAAAACAUACGGUUUGGAAUGUCU